GACGAACGCUGGCGGCGUGCUUAACACAUGCAAGUCGAACGCUGAAGCUCAGCUUUUGUUGGGUGGAUGAGUGGCGAACGGGUGAGUAACACGUGAGUAACCUGCCUCCUUCUUUGGGAUAACGCCCGGAAACGGGUGCUAAUACUGGAUAUUCACUGGUCUUCGCAUGGGGGUUGGUGGAAAGGGUUUUUCUGGUGGGGGAUGGGCUCGCGGCCUAUCAGCUUGUUGGUGGGGUGAUGGCCUACCAAGGCUUUGACGGGUAGCCGGCCUGAGAGGGUGACCGGUCACAUUGGGACUGAGAUACGGCCCAGACGCCUACGGGAGGCAGCAGUGGGGAAUAUUGCACAAUGGGCGCAAGCCUGAUGCAGCGACGCCGCGUGAGGGAUGGAGGCCUUCGGGUUGUGAACCUCUUUCGCUCAUGGUCAAGCCGCAACAAUGGUUGUGGUGAGGGUAGUGGGUAAAGAAGCGCCGGCUAACUACGUG
rnacentral:rRNA from 1 species